GUGCUCACUUUGGCAGCACAUAUACUAAAAUUGGAACAAUACAGAGAAGAUUAGCAUGGCCCUUGAGCAAGGGUGACACACAGAUUCAUGAAGCGUUCCAUAUUUUU
rnacentral:snRNA from 1 species